AUCCUUUUCCGGUUCAUAAGCAUGAUGAGCCAUUUUCACACAUCUGUGUAAUAUGUGCCUCCCUUCAACCUUGUUACGAUGUUGGUACAUGACUCUUCGGACU